AGUGAACGCUGGCGGUAGGCCUAACACAUGCAAGUCGAACGGCAGCACAGUAAGAGCUUGCUCUUACGGGUGGCGAGUGGCGGACGGGUGAGGAAUACAUCGGAAUCUACUUUUUCGUGGGGGAUAACGUAGGGAAACUUACGCUAAUACCGCAUACGACCUACGGGUGAAAGCAGGGGAUCUUCGGACCUUGCGCGAUUGAAUGAGCCGAUGUCGGAUUAGCUAGUUGGCGGGGUAAAGGCCCACCAAGGCGACGAUCCGUAGCUGGUCUGAGAGGAUGAUCAGCCACACUGGAACUGAGACACGGUCCAGACUCCUACGGGAGGCAGCAGUGGGGAAUAUUGGACAAUGGGCGCAAGCCUGAUCCAGCCAUACCGCGUGGGUGAAGAAGGCCUUCGGGUUGUAAAGCCCUUUUGUUGGGAAAGAAAAGCAGCAGGUUAAUACCCCGCUGUUCUGACGGUACCCAAAGAAUAAGCACCGGCUA
rnacentral:rRNA from 1 species